rnacentral:lncRNA from 1 species
ACACCUCUCUUCCGGCUGGAGCAGCCUGACCAAGUCCCACUUGCUGUUCUGCCAGGGAGCCUGAUUUUGGCACUGGUGUAUUUCCAGAACCAAGGAGACAGGACCUUGUCCGCUGCAGCUGGGACAUGGUGUGGAUAAAACCUGUCAGACAGUGGGCGUCCUCCUGCCCUGAAGCCUCCCCUCUCCCUGGUAGCCUUCAGGCCCCCCAGAUUCUGGUCUCUCGGCCUGCUGUCUCCUUUUUCCUUGGUACCUUGGCACCUGAACUCGCUUGGAGUGUCUAAGGAGCUGCCUGUGACACCAUGGGGACCUCUAUUGGUCCCAGCAUCCCCUGCCCAGCCGUGGGGGGCAUCGGUGUCAGCCCUGCCAAGGAUCAGUCAGCCAAUCAACAAACCGCAGGGAUCACCCAGCUCAUGGAUGUGGGUGCCGGGAGGCAGGGAGGGCCACACAAUGAAGAGAUGUGUGUGGUCCUCCAUGCUCAGAGAUCCUCAUGCCCCUCUCCCAGGGAUGGGAGUUCCCCUCCCCAUCAGGGGUAGCCCUAGGGCCCCCAGCCCCACUCUCACUAGGGCCAGCCUCUCUGUGAACCCCUGGACUCACAUCACGUGUGCGGGGCCCAGCUUUGAGGUGGAAGACCAAACCUUGGCAUUGCUUCUGUGGAAGCUCAGGAAAUGCCCACGAUAUGGCCUGACCACCCCAUUCACACGAGGAUGGAGGGAGCACCCUGGUCACCUGGGGGUUGUGGUUAGAGUGCCCUCCAGCCGAGCCUGCAGCCCAGACCGAGCUAGACUGGAAGGGGUAGAAGGGCAUUCAGGUAGGGACACAGCCUGGGCAAAGGGGCCCUGACCUUUGGCAGCUGCGGGAAGAUGAGCCCACCUGAAAGGGAGGCUGCAUUGAGUGCAGUCAGGACCUGGGCUGUAGGGCUCAGCCUCUAGACAGCAGGAGCACAGAAGGGCGUGGCGGGGUCUCCUGCCCGGCCAUAAUAAACAGGCCCAAGACUUGUUCACACAGGUCCCAGGAAUAUGCUGGGUUUGCCUUACGUAUAAUUUGUGAUUCAUACCUCUCAGUCUUCCAGAAAGAUGCAGUCUACAGAAAUUCAGAAACAAUCAAUUUGUAAGAAUAGACAUAGAUAAUUUUGAACAACCAAGAUUAGUGGGAGAUAGGCAUUUACCCAAUUCUAGGACAUUAAUGAUUAGUAAUCAGGCAUCAGACAUAGCUGUGGUCAGCCAUGGUGGCUCACACCUGAAAUACCAGCACUUUGGGAGGCCAAGACAGAAGGCUCCCUUGAGUUCAGGAGUUCUAGACCAGCCUGGGCAACAGAGUGAAACCCUGUGUCUACAAAAAAUAAAAAUAAAAUAAAAUAAACAAAUUAGCCUGUGGUCCCAGCUACCUACCAGGGAGCCUGAGGUGGAAGGAUCGCUUACGCCCGAGGUCGAGGCUGCAGUGAGCAGUGAUUGCACCACUGCACUCCAGCCUGAGUGACAGAGUGAGGCCCCGUAUUAAAAAAAAACCCCAAAAACUUAGCUAUGAGUUUCCUGGCAGUCGAGGCAUGAAGGGAAUGAGAAUGGACUAUGGAACUUCACUGUGUGAUCACAGCGGAGUAUAUCAGGCAGCCAGGAGGCCCUCACUUAUAUACCCAAGCCUCAGGCAGCAGGCAUGUUCUGUGGCGGCCUCUGGAAACAGGCCAUCAGGGCCGGGAGGACAGAGAUGGCUGUGAGCUGGGCCUGCACCCUCAGGGCCCUGCCUGUUGAGUGGCUCCAGGGUGUCUUGCCCUCUCUGGGCCUCUGGGCCAAGGCUAACCCAACUCUCUGGGUCACAGGGGCUCAAGACCUCAGUGGCAGGUCAUGAGGAAGGCUGCCCUGCCAGCCUCACCCUGGCUCCCCACCCACUGCCUGCUUCUUUUUUUUUUUUUUUUUUUUUGAGAUGGAGUCUCGCUCUGUCACCCAGUCUGGAGUGCAGUGGCGCGAUCUCGGCUCACUGCAAGCUCCGCCUCCUGGGUUCACGCCAUUCUCCUGCCUCAGCCUCCUGAGUAGCUGGGACUACAGGCGCCCGCCACCACGCUGGGCUAGUUUUUUUUUUUUUGUAUUUUUAGUAGAGACGGGGUUUCAGCAUGUUAGCCAGGAUAGUCUCGAUCUCCUGACCUCGUGAUCCGCCCGCCUCGGCCUCCCAAAGUGCUGGGAUUACAGGCGUGAGCCACCGUACCCAGCCCUGCCUGCUUCUUAAGUGGCCCAGGAGGACAGGGAGUGAGCUUGUCUCUCCCCACUGCAGGGUCCUGAGGGCUGGGGACUGUGCUGACACUGGUCUCUCCCCUGCCUAGGCAUAUCCUGUUCCUAGUGCUUGGAACACCCUUCCCACCCUCACAUGCCUGGCAAAUUGUUCUUCACCUCUAGGUUCACAUGUCGCCUCCUUCAGCUUUAAAUUCCUACACGAGGCCAGGCGCAGUGGCUCACGCCUGUAAUCCCAGCACUUUGGGAGGCUGAGACGAGCAGAUCACGAGGUCAAGAGAUCGAGACCAUCCUGGCCAACAUGGUGAAACCCCCUCUCUACUAAAAACACAAAAAGUUAGCUGAGCAUGGUGUCAUGUGCCUGUAAUCCAGCUACUCAGGAGGCUGAGGCAGGAGAAUCGCUUGAACCCGGGAGGUGGAGGUUGCAGUGAGCCAAGAUUGAGCCACUGCACUUCAGCCUGAGAGACAGAGUGAGACUCCGUCUCAAAAAUAAAAUAAAAUAAAUUCCUACACGAAGGCUGGGGCUGGCUCCGAGUGAGCGGGCCUGGGGUAUUUGUGGGAUAAUGUAACUUGGGAGUGUCUAAGUAGGAAAAAACUUUAGGUUCUUCAGUCCCAUUGUGCAUGGGGAAACAGAGGCCCUGUGCUGGUAAGUAAUGGGGCAGAAGCCAGGGUGGCUGCCUCAGUUGGAGGGAAAGCGGCACCAAGAUUCACAGGACAGCUCUGGGGUCCUGGUCGCAGUCCCUGCCGUGCCGCCUUCUCACUCAGUGACCCUGAGCAAGCUGCUUGCCACGAGAUGUCGGCUCCGUGGCAGUGGAUAGCUUCAGCCGUGGGAAGUCCUUGGCAAUCCCCUGGCUCGCGGCUGGUGCUCAGCUGGGUUCGCUCUGACUAGCACUGCACCUUGGUCACCACCUCGACUGCCACACACCCUCCCCCAGUGGAGACAGAGCCAGGGGUCUCUCAGCUUCCCCAACCCUGGCUCCCCAUUGUCCAGCCUCAGGGAUUUGGAGACUGGGACAAACUAGCCAUGCGGGGGAAAGGUGUUCCAGAGGAGGGAACACAGUGAGCCAACAAGAGGAUGGGAUGGGGCAGGGCCUGUUCCAGGAACAGGCUGGGGUCACUCUCCCUUCUCCAGAGUCCAAGGCACAUGGGUGGUGGGAGAAGAGAUAGGAGAGGCUGGCGAAAACCAGCCCGCAAGGCCCUAAAUGCCUGACUAAGAAGCUUCAGUCUUUCACUGAAGUUUUGGAGCUAGGUUGGGUGCAGUCAGAUAGCUUGGGGGCUGGGCCGGAGCAUCUGGUGGAGAGUGAGACACCGGUGUGAGCUGCAGCCCUCGCUGUGGGUCCCAGCACCCAGGACUGCACCCAGCCCAGGACUGCAGCAAGCAGGCACAGGAUGCGUGGCUGACUGAGGCCUGUACUCCGACUGGAGUCACCUAGGAGAUUGGCUGAGAUGACCUCCAGAAGGGCCUUGCCCCAGGCCGGACCCCAAGGGGAAGCUGGCUCUAUGUCUUUGGACGAGUUAGGAACUCAUUGGGGGUGGCUGCGGUUUUAUUUGGGGAUUCAGCUGUGCCCUGCACACCAGCUGCUGAGCAAUGUCUCCAGGAAGCCACAGCUGCCCUCUGGGAGGCAGGGGGCCAGGUGCAGUAGAGGAGAUGCCCCAGCGGCUCAUGCAGGAGCUCACUCAGACGCCAGAACCCCAGCCAAGGAGGCACCCCAGACCCAGGCCCACCAGGGCCAGUGUCCCCACUCCACGACAGGGGCACUGCAGCCGGGGUGGACACCCAGCCUUGCUGCUCACUAGUCACGUGGUCUGGGCAAGUCUCUUCCUCUUCCCUGAGUGAGGUGAGGCAGGAUGGGCUAGGAUAUGUGGUGGUAACAAACAACUCCAGUCUCUUUUUUUAUAAUUUCCUACAGACUUUUUUUUGUUCUUGUUGAGGCAGAGUAUCGCUCAAUUGCUAAGGCUGGAGCACAGUGGUGCUAUCUCAGCUCACUGCAACCCCCACUCCCCAGGUUCAAGUUAUUCUCUUGCCUCAGCCUCCCAAGUAGCUGGGAUUACAGGCGUGCACCACCAAACCUGGCUAAUUUUUGUACUUUUAGUAGAGAUGGGGUUUCAUCAUAUUGGCCAGGCUGGUCUCGAACUCCUGACCUCAAGUGAUCCACCCGCCUCGGCCUCCCAAAGUGUUGGGAUUACAGGCAUGAGCCACCGCACCCGGCCAACCUGUAGAUUUUUUGAGAUAAAACAGCUUUAUUGAGAUCUAAUUCACAUAUCACACAAUUCAUUUUAAAGCGUGCAGCUCUCUGUGGUGGAUGGUAUAUUCGCAGAGUUGUGCAACCAUCACCACAAUCAAUUUUAGAACAUUUUCGAGGCCGGGCGCGGUGGCUCACGCCUGUAAUCCUAGCACUUUGGGAGGCCAAGGCGGGCAGAUCACCUGAAGUCAGGAGUUUGAGACCAGCCUGGGCAACAUGGUGAAACCCCCCUCUACUAAAAAUACAAAAAUUAGCUGGGCAUGGUGGAGGGCGCCUGUAAUCCCAGCUACUCUGGAGGCUGAGGCAGGAGAAUCGCUUGAACCCAGGAGGCAGAGGUUGCAGUGAGCCGAGAUUGCACCACGGCACUCCAGCCUGGGCGACAGAGUGAGACUCUGUCUCAGAAAAAAAAAAAAAAAAAAAAGAACAUUUUAAUCACCCUCCAAACACACCAUGUACCCAUUAGUAACCACUCUCCAUUUACCUGCUCUGCCCAGCCCCUGGCAACCACUCACACACUUUCCAUCUCUAUGGGUUUGCGUGUUCUGGACAUUUCAUAUAAAUGAAACCAUAUGACGUCGCCUUUUGUGACUGACUUCUUUCACUUAGCAAAACUUUUUAAAAAUAGCUUUUAUUGGCUGGGUGCAGUUGUUUGUGCCUGUAAUCCCAGCACUUUGGGAGGCCGAGGCGGGCCGAUCACGAGGUCAGGAGAUCCAGAACAUCCUGGCCAACAUGAUGAAACCCCGUCUCUACUAAAAGUACAAAAAUUAUCCGGGCGUGGUGGUGCAUGCCUGUAAUCCCAGCUACUCAGGAGGCUGAGGAAGGAGAAUUGCUUGAACCAGGGAGUUGGAGGUUGCAGUGAGCCAAGAGCCCACCACUGCACUCCAGCCUAGAGACAGAGCGAGACUCCGUCUCAAAGAAAAAGAAAGCUGGCUGGGCGCGGUGGUUCACGCCUGUAAUCCCAGCACUUUGGUAGGCCGAGGCGGGUGGAUCACAAGGUCAGGAGAUCAAGACCAUCCUGGCUAACAUGGUGAAACCCCGUCUCUACCAAAAUACAAAAAAUUAUCCAGGCGUGGUGGCGGGUGCCUGUAGUCCCAGCUAUUUGGGAGGCUGAGGCGGGAGAAUAGUGUGAACCCGGGAGGCGGAGUUUGUAGUGAGCCCAGAUUGCACCAGCCUGGGGACAGAGUGAGACUCCGUCUCAAAAAAAAAAGAAAGCUUUUUUUUUCAGAGCUGCCUGAGGUUCACGGCCAAAUUAAGCAGAAGGUACAGAGAGUUCCCAUGUACCUCUGCCCCCACACAUGCACAGCCUCCCUCACAAUCAACAUCCCCCGCUGGAGCCGCACAUUUGUUACAACUGAGGAACCUACAGGGCCACAUCAUCACCGGAAGUCCAGGGUUUCCAUGAGGGUUCCCUCUUCCUGCCGGAUGCUUCACGCGUUCGGGCGAAUGUAUAAUGACUUGUCUCCACCAUUAGGGUUUUAUGCAGAAUAGUUUUUGUUUUGUUUUGUUUUGUUUUUGAGACGGAGUCUCGCUCUGUCGCCCAGGCUGGAGUGCAGUGGCACAAUCAUGGCUCACUGCAACCUCCGCCUCCUGGGUUCAAGCGAUCCUCCUGCCUCAGCCUCCUGAGUAGCUGGGACUACAGGGGUGCGCCCCCACAUCUGGCUAAUUUUUGUAUUUUUAGCAGAGAUGGGGUUUCGCCAUGUUGGCCAGGCUGGUCUCAAACUCCUGAGCUCAAGUGAUCCACCCGCCUCGGCCUCCCAAAGUGCUGGGAUUACAGGCAUAAGCCACCGCACCUGGCCUAGAGUUAUUUCUCUAUUUGACUACUAAAGGACAUC